rnacentral:rRNA from 1 species
UUUCCGGUUGAUCCCGCCGGAAGCCACUGCUAUCGGGGUCCGACUAAGCCAUGCGAGUCAUGGGGCUCCCUUCGGGGAGCACCGGCGCACGGCUCAGUAACACGUGGCUAACCUACCCUCGGGUGGGGGAUAACCUCGGGAAACUGAGGCUAAUCCCCCAUAGGGGAGGAGGUCUGGAAUGAUCCCUCCCCGAAAGGCGUAAGCCGCCCGAGGAUGGGGCUGCGGCGGAUUAGGUAGUUGGUGGGGUAAUGGCCCACCAAGCCUACGAUCCGUACGGGCCCUGAGAGGGGGAGCCCGGAGAUGGACACUGAGACACGGGUCCAGGCCCUACGGGGCGCAGCAGGCGCGAAACCUCCGCAAUGCGCGAAAGCGCGACGGGGGGACCCCGAGUGCCCACGCUCUGCGUGGGCUUUUCCGGAGUGUAAACAGCUCCGGGAGUAAGGGCUGGGCAAGUCCGGUGCCAGCAGCCGCGGUAAUACCGGCGGCCCAAGUGGUGGCCACUGUUAUUGGGCCUAAAGCGUCCGUAGCCGGCCCGGUAAGUCUCUGCUUAAAUCCUGCGGCUCAACCGCAGGGCUGGCAGAGAUACUGCCG